ACUAAACAGCUAGCCCGCCCACUUAAACCAAAAGCAUCAUUAUCAAUAAACCCUAAAACACAACCCCAAACACACAACCAAAUCAUUUUACCUCCUAAGUACGGGCGACGGAAAAGGAGCUCGGAGCCAUAGACAAAGUACCGCAAGGGAACGCUGAAAGAGAUAUGAAACAGCCCAGUAAAGUAACAAAAAGCAGAGACUAGUACUCGUACCUUUUGCAUCAUGAUUUAGCAAGUACACCCAGGCAAAGAGAACUUUAGUCUGACACCCCGAAACUAAGUGAGCUACUCCAAGACAGCCUAUGUAGGGCCAACCCGUCUCUGUGGCAAAAGAGUGGGAAGAGCUUUGAGUAGAGGUGACAAAUCUACCGAACUUAGUAAUAGCUGGUUGCCUGGGAAAUGAAUAGAAGUUCAGCCUUCCAACUUCUCCUCUCACACAGUUUUCACCCUCCUCAGACACAAAGAAAUUAGAAGAGUUAAUCGAAGGGGGUACAGCCCCUUCGAGCAAGAAACAACUUCCACAGUCGGGUAAAGAUCAAAAUAAUUCAAGGAAAGAUGUCUAAGUGGGCUUAAAAGCAGCCACCUAGAUAGAAAGCGUUAAAGCUCAGACAUACCACCACUCCCCCAAUCCCGAUAAUACCAUCUCAACCCACUUCCCCUUACCAGGCUGUUUUAUGCAAACAUAAAAGCACCCAUGCUAAUAUGAGUAAUAAGAAAGGAACCAGCCUUUCUCCCAGCACGCACAUACAUCGAAACGGACUUUCCAUCGAACAUUACCGGCCCCAAACAAAGAGGGAAACGAGCAACUAACAAACAACCAGAAAAUCACUCAAAAAUAACCGUUAAGCCUACACUGGCGUGCCUACUAGGAAAGACUAAAAGAAAAAGAAGGAACUCGGCAAACACAUUAGCCUCGCCUGUUUACCAAAAACAUCGCCUCUUGUAAAUUAAAAAUAAGAGGUCCCGCCUGCCCAGUGACACUAUGUUCAACGGCCGCGGUAUUCUGACCGUGCAAAGGUAGCGCAAUCACUUGUCUUUUAAAUGAAGACCUGUAUGAAUGGCAUAACGAGGGCCUAACUGUCUCCUUUUUCCAGUCAAUGAAAUUGAUCUCCCCGUGCAGAAGCGGGGAUAUAAUCAUAAGACGAGAAGACCCUGUGGAGCUUUAGACACCAGGUCAGACCUUGUUCAACAUUCCUCCUAUAAAGGAUACAACCAAAGGACUCUGUCCUAAUGUCUUCGGUUGGGGCGACCCCGGAGAACACAAAACCUCCAUGUGGAAUAGGAGAACUUCUCCCACAACCAAGAGUAGCCACUCUAAGCAAUAGAAUUUCUAACCAGAAGAUCCGGCAAAGCCGAUUAACGAAAUAAGUUACCCCAGGGAUAACAGCGCAAUCCUCUUUCAGAGUCCCUAUCGACAAGAGGGUUUACGACCUCGAUGUUGGAUCAGGACAUCCUAAAGGUGCAGCCGCUAUUAAGGGUUCGUUUGUUCAACGAUUAAAGUCCUACGUGAUCUGAGUUCAGACCGGAGUAAUCCAGGUCAGUUUCUAUCUAUGAAACAUUUUUUUCUAGUACGAAAGGACCGAAAAAAAGAGGCCCAUGCCAUAAACACGCCUCCCCCUCACCUAAUGAAAACAACUAAAUUAGACAAAAGGAUGUAUUCCUUUAGCCUGAGAUAAUGGCUU
rnacentral:rRNA from 1 species